rnacentral:rRNA from 1 species
UACGGGGGGGGUAAGCGUUGUUCGGAAUUACUGGGCGUAAAGGGCUCGUAGGCGGCCUUCUAAGUCGAACGUGAAAUCCCCGGGCUCAACCCGGGAACUGCGUCCGAUACUGGAAGGCUUGAAUCCGGGAGAGGGAUGCGGAAUUCCAGGUGUAGCGGUGAAAUGCGUAGAUAUCUGGAGGAACACCGGUGGCGAAGGCGGCAUCCUGGACCGGCAUUGACGCUGAGGCGCAAAAGCCAGGGGAGCAAACGGG